rnacentral:rRNA from 1 species
GUCCACGCUGUAAACGAUGGGCACUAGGUGUUCGGGGUAUUGACCCCCUGAGUGCCGCAGCUAACGCAUUAAGUGCCCCGCCUGGGGACUACGGCCGCAAGGCUAAAAACUCAAAGGAAUUGACGGGGGCCCGCACAAGCGGUGGAGCAUGUGGUUUAAUUCGACGCAACGCGAAGAACCUUACCUGGGCUAGACAACACCGGACAACCCCGGAAACGGGGUCUUCCCGCAAGGGACUGGUGGUUCAGGUGCUGCAUGGCUGUCGU